rnacentral:rRNA from 1 species
AUUGAACGCUGGCGGCAGGCUUAACACAUGCAAGUCGAACGAGUGGCGGACGGGUGAGUAAUGCUUGGGAAUCUAGCUUAUGGAGGGGGAUAACUACGGGAAACUGUAGCUAAUACCGCGUACCAUAGGAUGAGCCCAAGUGGGAUUAGGUAGUGGGUGGGGUAAAGGCUCACCAAGCCGACGAUCUCUAGCUGGCCUGAGGGAAUGACCGGCCACAUGGGGACUGAGACAGGGCCCAGAUUCCUACGGGAGGCAGAAGGGGGAAAUAUUGCGAAAUGGCGGAAACCGACCGCAGACAUGCCGCGUGAAUGAAGAGGGCCUUCGGGUGGUAAAGUUCUUUCGGUAGCGAGGCGUUAACUACAGAAGAAGCACCGGCUAACUCCGUGCCAGCAGCCGCGGUAAUC